GGACGAAAGUCUGACGGAGCAGCGCCGCGUGAGUGAUGAAGGCUUUCGGGUCGUAAAACUCUGUUGUUAGGGAAGAACAAGUGCUAGUUGAAUAAGCUGGCACCUUGACGGUACCUAACCAGAAAGCCACGGCUAACUACGUGCCAGCAGCCGCGGUAAUACGUAGGUGGCAAGCGUUAUCCGGAAUUAUUGGGCGUAAAGCGCGCGCAGGUGGUUUCUUAAGUCUGAUGUGAAAGCCCACGGCUCAACCGUGGAGGGUCAUUGGAAACUGGGAGACUUGAGUGCAGAAGAGGAAAGUGGAAUUCCAUGUGUAGCGGUGAAAUGCGUAGAGAUAUGGAGGAACACCAGUGGCGAAGGCGACUUUCUGGUCUGUAACUGACACUGAGGCGCGAAAGCGUGGGGAGCAAACAGGAUUAGAUACCCUGGUAGUCCACGCCGUAAACGAUGAGUGCUAAGUGUUAGAGGGUUUCCGCCCUUUAGUGCUGAAGUUAACGCAUUAAGCACUCCGCCUGGGGAGUACGG
rnacentral:rRNA from 1 species